rnacentral:other from 1 species
ACAUUCCUGCUCUGUUGGUAGGGCAAGCAUGGUUUUGAUCCUAAAUUUGACACGGGAGCCGGCAGUGAGCGACUCAUUAUGUCAUGCUUUUACUUAAAGAAGACAGAAGCGUGGUUCCAGGCGCCCACCUGCUUCAGCAGGGUCAGAAAACCGGCGGUCUUACGGCAGCGUGGGGAAAAA